rnacentral:rRNA from 1 species
UACGGGGGGGGCAAGCGUUGUUCGGAAUUACUGGGCGUAAAGGGCUCGUAGGCGGCCAACUAAGUCAUACGUGAAAUCCCUCGGCUUAACCGGGGAACUGCGUCUGAUACUGGAUGGCUUGAGAUUGGGAGAGGGAUGCGGAAUUCCAGGUGUAGCGGUGAAAUGCGUAGAUAUCUGGAGGAACACCGGUGGCGAAGGCGAGUCCCUGGACAACGACUGACACUGAGGCACGAAAGCUAGGGGAGCAAACAGG